rnacentral:misc_RNA from 1 species
AAAGUGCGACAAGUGUCAUGACUUGCAGAUACCCGAGAGCUGACAAAUUUCUGAAUGCAAAUUGCAGCCAAGUUAACCUGGCUAUGCAAUGCAGAGAGUACUUCGCGUAUGCGCUUACUCUAGGGUUGAGCACAACUUCGGUUGUCACUUCUGGGACCUGCAUGAUUGAGUAUAUGUUGACGUUGGCGCGCAAGUGUCGACCGUCCAAGCUCUCCCAUGUUAAAGUCAGAAAACCAUCGAGUUUUCCUGAACAUUUAUAUAUAUGAGAAAAAGAGUUUAAUCUCUCUUACCCUCUCACCUCUCACCUCUGCAUUGUAGGAGAACCCGCUGAACUUAA